rnacentral:lncRNA from 1 species
AAAGGUUUAAAUAUUGAAAAGCCAACAAUCUCAAACUUUACAGCUUCCUCUUAACUCAUUUUACACACAAAUCAACUUUGUAUUCUUUACAAGUUAGAAUGAAAGAAAUGACACUAAUACAAAGACCUUCAAAUGGGCAGACAUUGUGUGACUUUUGAGCAUGAAAGGCUAUGGCCCUGCAGAUGAAAGAUCAGAAAAAGCAAAUUCCAAAAUUCUUAUCCAAUCCAAAUAUCCAGGCAGCAAAAGCAGGGAAUAUCUAGGAAUUCUGGCCCAAAACUCUGUUCCUGAUUAUAUCCUUUCAAAGGCGGUUUAAAAAUCAGAAGGAUGGCACAAAUAUUUUCUAUCUUAACCAGUAAUUUUGAAUACCAAAAAGCAGAAAGUGUAUAAUAGAGGAAGCUGGUGGUGACCAGAUUGAAAGCAAUUGAAAUAGUAAGAAAACCAUACAAAUGCCUCUGCACUCUACUCACCUGCACAUGCAGCCUGUCUCCUUAGCCCCCACACUCGUAGACCCACUUCAAUUUUCAUUGCUCUCUUCAAUGAUCAGCCAUAAAGUCUCAUUUCUCACCAUUAACUCAAAAGGGUACAACUAAUUAAUACCUGUAGUUAGAAAUUCAACUAACUGGAUAUGCUUCCUUUUGUUUUUUUUUGGGUUAAUCAAAUUUUCAUUUUUCAUUUUUUUGGGGUGAUUCUAUGAUGUUGGGGUUUGAUGGUGGUGAGGAUUAGAGGCCAAUGAUUCAGGGGAUUGAAUGAAUUUGAAGAUGUCUUGGGCAAGUGAUCAAGUGGUCAUUGCUAAGGCCAGAAGCUUGCAUGAAUGAAUGAAUUAUAAUUGGACCAACAAAUCUAAAUCCUCUUUUUACCAUGUCUUUGCUUAUAGUUUCUGAUUUUGAAGUCUUCACUGGGAUCUUGUUGCAUGAUUUGUAUUGGGUUAUGAUUGCUUUGUGAGUCACAAAUCCCCACAAGUACUUGUCAAAUGUUCCAAAUUCCUUCUUUACCUUCAGAAAAAUAAAAAACCUCUCAAUCAUUUAUUUAAAUGUGAACUUAAUAAUUAAUAAAUCUUUCAUAAUCUGUAAUGGAAACUACAACUUUGGUAAUUAAAUGAUUUUAAUUUGUAUAUUUGUAAAGUUAAUGUUGAAAAUUUUUUAAAAUUAAAAGAAAUUAAAUCUUUUCAUUUCAAAACAAGAGAAUUGAUAAAAAAAGAAAUGUAAAUGUUUGAUUACCUGGAGAAUUCUAUUAGCGUUGUCCAAAACUCCUCGAACAUGGCUUAUGUUUAUGCCAUACUCAGCACUAAUUGAUGUUAUUUUCUUUUCAUUGAAUUUGGCAACAACUUCUGCAUCAAACUCAUGAAAGGCCUCUCUGCAAGUUGAAUAAUAAAUAAAGUAAUUAAUAUUUAAAAAAAUCAGUUGGGAUGUGCUAAUUCAAGAGGGGGAACCCACAUAAAUUUCUAUUAGAAGUGAUUCUAGCUCUUUCACCUACCUGAAUUCUUGCCUUUUCUUCAAGACUGAAGUCCAGUCUGAUCCUACUUGUGCUCCUGUCAGCACUAGCAAUUCAAACAACAGCCUGCAUAACCCAAAAAAAGAAAAAUAGAUACAAUUAUUCAAUCUUAAAUAUACCUCUUUAUUCAAAAUAAGAAUAUUUGUCGCUGUUCGGCAAUUGUGAAUUGCUGCAAAACUUUUCGUCUUUUACGUCUAAAAAUUUAAAAAGGAGGAGGAGAAACUCACUUAUCAUCAUGAACAGGAACUCCCCAUUCUUCAUCAUGGUAAGCUACGUAGAUAGGAUCUGAGAAACCAACAGAAUAAAAAUUAGUAAGAUUUUAGUAUUUUUUUUUUUUUUUAAAUUUCGAUACUCUUGUGUAGAAAGAUGAACUGGACUUUCAAAUGAAAUAUAUACCUGAACUUGGAGUGAUAAAGCUACAUCUCCUUUCUUCUCGAACAAUUGUAGUAAUAACAGCUGAAGAAUCAACAGACACAACCUUUGCUUCUUGCUUAGCAGACCUCACUCUUCCAUAAUGAGAAACUCGCAGUUUCCUUUGCUCUUGCAUAUUAGCAAUAUGUUCCCUCCUUUCAGCUGCUAUGCUUCCAGGAGCUGCAGUACUAGUGAUGGAUUUCUUUGAUAUUCUUACAAUACUUGACACUUGGGUUGUGUUUCUUGGUGUCAAAAACUUCUCAUCACUGGAAUUCAAGCUGUUAGAGUCACUCCCUCCUCCUCUUUUAAGUGCAGGUGGUCUCGGUGAUUUUUGCUUGGGAGAGAUUGGAGGAGACAGACAAGGAAUAGGAGUUGGCAAUGGCUGCAGAUUAGGAGAUUUUGGGGGAUUCUUUUUAAGUGAAUUGCGUUUUUCCAAGCUAGGAACUUGGUUGGAUUUUGGCUGAAGAACAGGGCGGCCAUUGAUUUUAGCAAUAGUUGCAGGAACAUUAGAACCUUGGUGCAGCCUUGAUUUAGAAGAGCACAUUUUGUAAGUUCCUUUUUUCUAUGGAGUAGAAGAUGUUAAUUGAGAGGUUUUGAGAGCACAAAGGCAAUGAAAUUGAAGAAGGUUAAGGACUUGAGCAGGGUUUGGGAAGAAAGUGUGAGGCUUAUAAAUUAGAAAGUGGGGACAAAAUAGAGGAAGUUGUAACAUGGGAGUGUUGGGGUCUGCCAUACAAUCCUCUUGUGAUGGGUGAUGCUUUUGGGGUAGUGUGAGAAGAAGGCUAAUAAUGACUCUCUCCUGACUGGGUCUAGAUAGUACAUGAUAUAUCAAGCUAAUAGCAAUAGCCUAUAGAAAAUUAUAUAGAAGUAGUUUUUUUUUUUUAAAGAAAAAUUUUGCUAGUUAUUUAUUAUAUUUUUAGAGUACAUUCAUUUAUUACUGAAUUAUAUUUAUAUGGUUAUAUAUUUUUUAUUGGUUUGUUGAUAAUUUUAUAUAAUAUAACUGCUAUAUUGUAUAAUUUCACGUGAAGCAAAAAAGAAAGUAUGUUGGGUCUGGUUGUGGUGGUGGUGGUGAUGGUGGAGUUGCCCAUGCGAGCCACGAAUAGACCAUGACUCUUGUCUGAUCCCAAGCUUUGGGUUUGUGGGGAUCAAGGGAGGGAUUGGCCAAUCAUUGCUUCUCCAGCUACCGCUAGGCUUUUCUGAAACUCUCUUUCUCUUUCAAGGCUGUGGCAAGUGCUUAAUUAUUAUAAUUUAAUAUAAAAAUAGAGGUUGUUUUGGUUUUUAUGAUGGGUUAAGUUCGGUUGUUGAGCUAACCAACUUAUUAAUUAUAAAUUUGUUUUGCAGGUCACCUUGUCUUCUCGUUUAGAGCUGCUUUGUCUUAUUUAAUUAAGAUGAGUACGUAUGUAGGAAAUGGUCCCAAAAUCCUAAUUGUGCGACAAAUUGGACCAGCUUUGAUGGACUUCUAGACAUUGGAUCAUGCAUCCCUUUGUUUUCUUUAACAAAUAAAUUUAUUUCUAAUCUAGAGGGUUAAUUAGCUGUGUUUGUGAUUCACAUCUUAACCUAUUUCCACUUUUUAUAAUAAUAGAGUGAAUGGAAGUUUAAUAAAGCUUACCCAUUUAACCUUAUCAUAAAGUUUUUGUUUUUAGUAUUUUAUAAUAUAGUUUCAGAGAUUUAAUAAAAUUCAUAAUUUAACUCUACUAUAUUAAUGAAAAAUAAUUUAUUAUAUAAAAUUUUAUUCUAUUAAUAAAAUAGUCAUUUUAGAGAGAGAAAAAAAGUCUCCCUACUUUCAUUUUCUUAUGAGACUUAGGUUUCGUCGUCUACCAUUCUUACAGCUUUCUCUUACCUUGAUGGUUCUUUUUUCCUCAGCACGGUGUGGAUUUCUCUAUUUUAGACCGUGUGGAGGUAUAUUAGUUUUUUUAUUUUUGGUGUUUUGUUGCUCUGUUUUGAGCCUUUUGUAAGUGGUGCUUGAAAUAGUGAGAGAGAUGUAAUGGUGUCUGUAUUUUCUUUGAGAGUUUGGGUUGCAAAUCGAUGAUUGUCAGUGUUAAAAGAGGCGGCACGGCUGACGAAAAUUCAUUGGGUUGAAACCAAAAAGAGAAAUGGCCACAUGAAAGGCACAAGUGGAAUGUUGAGAGCUCUCCUUUCUUCUUUAUGUGUCGGUUGCCUGAUGAAAUUUCUUUUGCUCCCUCUUUAAACCUUAGUCACGUGACUAUUAAAAGAGAGUAAUUGUGUCUUUUGGUUAGAGUUUGAGGUCUGUUUGCUACACACAAGGUUUCAAAUGUGCAAGACCUUUUUUGUUGGUGCUUUCUGAGUGUUAAUGGUCACUCUUCGAUCGAUCUAGUGGGUUUUUUCCUUGGUAGAUCUCGUGCAUUCUUGAUAAGUCAACACUUUCUCUAUCUACUUCACUGGUCAUGCUUCUUUCCGAUCAAAAGACCCACUAUCUAGUUAGGGUUUCUCGUAUGUAGGAUUGGACCUUGUUUGUAAGAGCUGAGGUGGUGGAUUAUUUGAAAUACUUGUAUCAUACUUUAUGGGCUCUGUAUGUUUUUUUAGCUCCCUAAUGAAUAUUAUAUUUUGAGAAAAAAAAAUAUUUUGUCAAAAACAUAAAAGUAUAAUAAGAAAAAUUACUUAGUUUAUGUGGCAUAUGUUUUCAAUUUUGAAAAAUAUAUUAAACGUCCUUAAAAUUUUAAAAAAUAUACUAAUUAGUUCUUUCGUUAGUUAUUAAAUAUUUUACUAUUUAAUUCAUAUUAUAUGAAAAAACUCAUUAGUUAGUUUUUAGUUUUGCACUACUUAAUUUCUCCACAGGGCAUUUUAGACUUUUGCAAUAGAUAAAAUUAAUAGUAGAAUUUUUAAAAUUCCAGAACGUUUUAAUGUAUUUUUCAAAAUCAAGAGACUAACUAAUGAAUUUCCUGACACCACAGGGACUACAUAGUAAUUUAUCUUAAAAUAAUUUAGUCAUUUGAAUUUAUUUUUUAUAAUAAUUUAGUCCCUUCAACUUGAAUUGACUUCAUAAAUCUACGGUUAGUUAACAAGUAAAUUUAACAAAACUACUAUUUUGUUAAUAAAAUAAAAAUUCAAAGACUAAAUUGUUUAUUAUUAAAAAUGCAGGGACUAAGUUGUGGGUUAUAGAAUUUUUCAUUUAGUACUAAGGUUUUGUUUAGCAACAACUUUUAAAAUAGUGUUUAGUAUUUUUUUUUACUAAUACUUAGAGGUUUAGGUAAUGAAUUAUGAAGAACUUUUUAGUUAAUCACUACUAAAAUAGUUACGAUUAUCAAGACAACAUCUUUGGCUUCAUUGACUAUUUUUAAUUUAAUCAAAAUAACAAAAUUGACCGAAUCAAACAAUAAAAUAUUUCAAAAAAUUUUUGUUUUUGGCAAGGAAGAGAGGGUUAGAACCCACUAACUAAGACUAGACAGACUAGGAACACGCAUAUCUCUUUGGAGGAUAAUUCUCGACACAUUAGGGACAAUGACUAACGAUGAGACCCCAGAGGCAGGAAUUGGGCUUCUCGGGCGAGCCAGUCAGCAACUUUGUUACCUUCUCUAUGAACAUGAGAUGGAGAUUCUCCGGUUUGAAUGCAACUCUGCUUGAAUUUGCUGGACAAGAAAUGAAAGAUCCAAAGGUGGCUAGAGUUUUCCCAUAACAGUUUCUACAAUUUUUAAAGAAUCCAACUCAACUUGCACCAGGAUAUUACCAAGGGAUGUGGACAGACGUAGGCCUUCUUGAAUAGCUUUGAUUUCCGCUCCUAGUACUGUCGAUCUGCCAAAAGAAACCAUAAAAUCAUGUAUCUAGUCUCCUGACGCGUUCCUCACAACGCCUCCCCUAAAAGCAAGCCUGUCAUUGCUUCUCCACGAGCUGUCCACAUUCAUCAUGAGAGAAUGAUUUACUGGUAGUAUCCAGGUAAUAUUCCUUCUAGAGGAAGCACUUAUCUCCACAUCUUCCUGAACCUUGCUUAUGACAUUCAGAAUGUCCUUGGCUGUGUGUAGAGCAGCAUGUAAGAGCUGAUUUCACUCUUGCUUCUGGCCUUCGAAGAUGAAUUUAUUUCUCCUUCUCCAAAUAUACCAGCAGAUUGUACCAAACAGAAGGAAGGGAGGCCAUAAAUCUCAAGCUUAUCCUCUUCCAGAUUUUCCAACAACCGUCAGUAUGGGAGGAAGAAUAAAAUACAGUACCUACAGGAAGAACAAAAAUAAGAUUAUUCCAAAUGUUUUUAGUGUGAAUUCAAUCACGCAACACAUGUAGGAGAGAUUCUACUUUCCUGUGACACAAAGGGCAAAUGUUGGAGAAGGUAAGAUGCCUCCUUCCUCUUUCUUGAUUGGUAAGGACUCCAUUAUUCAACACCAGCCAUAGGAAAGUCCUAACUCUUUGGGUGCCUGGCCAUCUCCAAACGGUGCUCCAAUGCCUCUCAUUCUGCGAGUUAGAAAACCCCGAAAGAAAGAAGUAGGCAGACUUGAUACUGAACCUAACAGAGCCAGACAUCAGCUUCAUCAGGAUCAAAGGAGGCUGUUGCUUCUGCCAUAUCCAGAAGAAUAGAUGGUGGGAGUAAUGUGUGAACUUGUUCCAUUUCCAACCUAACUCCUUCUCAUAGUAGUCUUCCAUUUUAUCCUCAAGCAUGGAUUUUGGAACGUCCGAGGUCACUAUUGCCUGUAGAGGUGUUCCUCUUUUAAGCCAGAUGUCCUUUCAAAACCUAGUGUGUCUUUCAUGACCAACAGACCAGCUAAUACCAUCCAUAAACUCGUCCCAAACUACCAUAAUGCCGUUUCACAGAUUAGAAUGUUGAUGUUUCUUGGUGCAAUUCGGGAUGAUAUUGCUCCCCAAAUUAUAUUUCGCUUUGAUAAAUCUCACCCAAAGCUGUUGAGAAUUGUUGACAAUUUUCCAUGCAAUUUUCAUCAUAAAGGCCUUGUUAGAAGGCGCGCUUAUCCAGUACUAUAAUAUCUAUUGAGAUAAGAUAGUGUAUUUAUAUUAGUACGGUUAUCAAAGAAUUAGUAUCACAGAUGCAUGAUUUGACUUUCAGUGACUCUCUUUUUUAUUAAUUAUGGUUCAAUUUUUUAAAUGACUAUUUUAAUACUAUUAAACUAAUAAUUCGAUAAAAAUUUAAAAUCGUCAUAAAAAAAAUUCAAAUUUUUACUCUCUAUAAUAAUAUAUUCUAGUAAAUGAUUAUUAUAUUUAUAAUAAUACUAUAAUUUUAGCUGCGUUUCUGUAAAAAAAAAAUAAAUUAUUAUUUAUAUAUAUAUUAUAAAAUUGAGAUAGAUACAAUCGUUAUAAUUUUAAAUAUAAUAUAACUUCAUUCAAUUUAAUUAUGAUGUGAUAUAUACUCAAAGAAAAGAAGAAAGAAAUAAAUGCGUGGUGCAUCUACAUUCUCUAUAUUAUUAUUUUUUUUUUAUGACAAAAGUUUUAUGUAUAGAUUUUUGUUCGCUAUAUUUAGAUCACUUGAUAAAUGUUAUUGGAAUAAUAUUUUAAAAUUGAAUAAAUUUUAUUAUUUAAUUUCUGUAAUUAAUUUAGUAAAACCUGUAGUUUACUGUAUGCAUUUUUAAAUCCUUCUAUUGAGACCUUAAUAGUUUAAUAAAUCUACACCUUUCAAUUAGAAUCAUAGUAGUUAAGUAUUUAUUAAUUCUUGCAAAAAUAAUUAAAAUAUCCUUAACUCUAUUUUCAAUCCUGAGAUUUUUUCUUUUACAAUUACAAAGUCGUUAUAUUUUGCAAAUCUGUCCCAUUAAAUUAAAAUAAAAAAUUUAAAUUAGUGUUAUUAAAAAUAUGGAUACUUACUCUAGAUCCUUCAAAAUUUUGGUUAUUUGCAAAAUCAUUUAUAUAUAUUACAAAUGAGUAUUUAAAUAUUAUAACUAUUUAUAAAUUUUUAUAUUUUCUGAUCUGAUUGAUGUACGUCCAUUUGAAAAGGGUUUGAUUCAAAUUAAAUAGACUAAUUUAGACCAAUCUGAGUAAGCACCGCUCUAAUUUGAUUUUGGCUCCAUUUCAGUUGGUUCAACAAAAAAAGUUAAGUGUCAAAUUGAACCAGUCUCAAAAUGAACCUAGCUUGCCAUUCAAUGUAAUUUGAAUCAAAUUAGUACCAAUUUAGAUUUAUCUUUAAUAAACCAAUUUGAAUCAUAUUGGUUUUAAAUCAAAACAUUUUGAAUCAGAUUAGUCCUAAAAUGGAUCGAUUUUAAAUCUCAUCAAUUCAAAUAAAUAAUGUUAUUGAGAUUAGAUUGAUGAUGUAGUUGAAAUGGAACUGUGUUGUGAGUUAUUAGCACCUAUAAGAAUAGAAACAUUCCGAUGCUCAAGUUAGUGUCUUGAAAAAUAGAGAGAAUGCAAUGGAUUACUUAAAGUUCGAGUAGUAUUAGAGAUAGUGUACUUUUGUUUUUGUAAUUGUUUCCCUUUUAUACUGUAAGAAUAUGGAGAUAAAUAUAGUAUUUCCUAAGAAUCCGGUAAUGAUGUGGCCGGCUGCUCGAUAAUGGAUAUCGCCAGCCAAUGGGUUGAUAAUCCUGCGAUCACAGACAAAAUGAAAAUGUGUCUUGUAACCAUGUGCCAAGACUCGACUAAUCAGGGGAAGGCGAAUCUUGACGAUAGUCCGAGUGUUAAAGUGUCCAAGUGUCCCUUCCCGUAGUGGGACUGUGUCUCCCACUUGUUAGAUCCUUGUCACGUGACCCUUGUUUUAUGGUGAAAACUAGGGGUGAGCAGUAUUUGGUUCAAACCGAAAAAACCGACCGAACCGAAUUAAUUUCAAAAUUCAGCUCAGUUUUUUAUUCAAUUCGGUUCAGUUCGAUUUUUAAUUUUAAAAAUUUUGGUUAUUUCGGUUCGGUUCGAUUUUGAUCAGAAAAAAUAAAAAAAACCGAACCGAAUCGAUUAGUGAUAAUAAUAUGUUAUUUUCAAUAAUAUAGAGAAAUUAAAUUAUAUUAAGAUUAUAAUAUUUUAAUUAAAUUUUAAAAUAUUUAAAAUAAAGUGUAAAAAAUAAAAAAUUUAUUAAAAAUUGAAAUCGAUCAAAUCGAAUCGAACCAGACCGUUCGAUUCGAUUCAAUUUUUGACCAAAAUCGGUUCGGUUCGGUUUUCAUAAAUACUAAAAUUUCAGUUUUUGGUAUAUUCAGUUCGGUUCAAUUUUGAACCGAACCAACCGAAUGCUCACCCCUAGUGAAAACUCAUAGUUUACUUUGGGCAGAUGUUAUGUAACAUCAAAGGUCCUCUGCUGGUCUUCAACUCUUUAGGUUUGAAGGUGGUCAUUUGCCUUUUCGGUUUAGGACAUGUGGCGUGAUCUCGGUUGUGAGUGUCGUUUUGCUUGCUUGUGGUCGCCUUAUUUUAUGUGCCACAUUCAAAACUUUGUCAGCUAUUUCGCUAUAUAAGAACCAUUCUUUCUUCUUUUUUAUUCACAACAGUUUCUCAUGGAAGAGAGGAGUGGAGGUUCUUCUUCUAUUCUUAAGGGUAACCCAAUCUGUGUGUAGGAUAUCAUCAUGGUCUUCGAAGAGCAACUGAAGGCGGGUCUUCCUAAAAGUGCAAGUACACUACUUAGCUCUAUGCAUUGGCUGAGUACUGCAACCAGCUCGACUAUAAUGGAUUUUCAAUGUUGCGACCCUUGGUGGUGUUGGAUUGUGCGAGAUUGAUUUCGAGAGCAAGGCUAGGAAGGUAAUUGGAGAGACAUCUCUUCUCAUGGCCUUUCAAACGGCUCUCUCCUAUAGGAUGUGAUAGAUUUUAAGAAUUAUGAUGUAAUAGAGACUUUAAUGUAACAGAAACUUUAUUCAAGUCUCUUUCUUGACUCCUUGUAAUAUUUUGUAAUGCAAAUAUAUGUUUUGUAUGCUUUUAUGUGCUUCCUUUAUUGUCACCAUUUUUGCCGAACGAAGGGGGCUAAAAUAUACCUUCUUUAACAUCCAUUUAUUCAUAAAAUAGUUAAUGAAAAAUAGGAUUAAUACCUAGGCUCAUAACCCAGCAAAUUGCCAUCCUUCCAUCAUAAAACGCCUUUGGACGAUUUGUUAAUAAGGAUCUUUCACCCAAUCUAGUUCUUUGUUUGAUACCUUCAUCUUUUAUCUUUUUGGGAGUUGGUAUAGACUCGUGGUUGUCGAAGCCGGUCAAAAAUAACCUUUCCGGUUAUCAACAAUUUUACAACUGCAGAUAGUGGUGAAAGGAUCGAAUCCACAGGGAAUUGGAAACUUACCUAUUUUCCUUACCAAGACCAAUAAAAUAAACUGAAAAAGAAAUAAACUGAAACGAGAUAAACAAAAAGCAAAAUAAACUGAAAGCGAAAUAAACCGAAAGCGAAAUAAACUGAAAGCAAAACAAACUGAAACGAGAUAAAACUGAAAGCAAAAUAAACUGAAAGCAAAACAAACUAAAACGAGAUAAAACUGAAAACGAGAUAAACUGAAAGCGGAAUAAAAAUAAAUUGCAGUAAAAGUAAAAUGGGGGGUUUGAGAUUGAUUUGAUUAAUAAACUACCGAAAGCAAUUAAGAUAAGCAAAUAAUAAAAUAAAAGAGAAAUAAAUAAUAAGAAAGCUCUAGUUGAAGAGUUGGAUCCACUUCAGUUGUUGGGAUCGAUCAUUGACACUUAGUUUCUUUUGAUUGAUUCAAUAGAUUAGUUGUGGAGAUGGAAGACGCUUCUUACCACCAUGUCUCUCCUUAUGAUUAAACCAAUUAGGGAACGUCCUCUAAUUAAUUACUAAUUAACAAAUUGUCAAGGAACGUCCUUGGGCCUUAGACAUUAAAACAAUUGUUAAUUGCAUGAAGAGAUAGAGAGAUCCAAUCCUAACUACUCAAACGCAUGAGAUGUUGCUAGAUCAUACAAUUUCCUUGGUUUUUACACCAAGUGUUCUUAUAUUUGAAUAAUCCAAGCAAUUACAGACUUAAAUCACCCAAAAUAAUAUAUUAUUACCUUGCAAUUAAGAAUCAAUUGGCCAUAUUGAUCAAAACAACAAAGCAACAAUGGAAUUAAGCAUGAGAUUGUAUGAAUAUUGAAUAACAAAAGAUAAACAAUGUUUGAUUAAGUCUCCCAAUCCAUAAAACAACUAAAGCAUCACCUAAUCUUCAACUAGAAUAAAAGAUUUCAACCUCUCAUGGCUGAAAUAAAAACCAAAAAUAAAAGAAAAGAAGAAAGGUAGAAGAAGAGAUGUGAAUCCCGUAGGUGUCUCCAAGGGGGCUUGAAAGAGCAUGGGGAGGCUCCUUAUGUGUCUUUUUAUACUUAAAAAGUGUUACCCUAGAUGAUACUUGCUUCCUAAUUAGUGAAGAGGCUGCCCAAGGUGUCAAGAGGCUGCCCAAGGUGUCAAGAGGCUGCCCAAAAUGCCCUUGGUCCAAGAUGUGCCAUCCAUGCACAUGUGAGAAGGGAAAAACGUGGGGCAUGUGUUCAAGUGCAAGGAGUGGGGGCCUUUGGUCUUUGCUUGCUGCCCAAGUGUCUUCAAGAUGCUGCCCAAGGUGCCCAAGACUUGCCUUCACACUCUCCUUGCCGCCCAUGCACUAAUAAGGAAGGUGGAGCCUCCUUUGCAAUUUGAAUUUUGAAUGUGCAAGGCAUGAGGUGGCAAGCAUGUGAUCUUUGGAUUUAGCUUCCUUAAUAAGCUGGAUUUUGAAAUUCAAAAUUUGAAUAUGAAUCUUGAAGAUUUGAAUUUCAAAAUACUUUCUUUAUUUGGCUCUUCAUAUAUGGUAGCUUGAGACUUGGCUUCUUGAAUAAGGAAAAGGCUACUUGGAGAUUUGAAAUUUGAAUUUCAAAUUGCUUUGGCUAGAUGUUCUUUCCUUCUUUGCCACUUUCCUUAUUUAGAACUUUCCUUAUUUAGUUUCACUUGAAUUCAACUUGGCAGACUUGCUCUCCUUUGCUCCAUUUAAGGCAGUUUUAAGGGUAUUUUCUCCAAAAUGUCUUUUUUCACCAUUUUCUGCAAAAUAAUGUCAAGAGCACUAAAUUAAGUAGAAAUCAUGUAAAUAAUCAUCAAUAAUAUCAAGAUAAAAUGGUUUAAAAUAUGUUCUAUCAGUAUAUCCGCUUUUCCGGUUGUCGAUAAAGACGACUCGAUUAAUGGUGGCCAACGCCUAAAUUUGUGGUCUGGCUAGAAUCGCCUCGUAGCCUAGUCUGGCGAAAACUGCCUUGUGGCUUUGCUUAGUGGGACCAACACCCAAAUGGUCGGGCGAAAACUGCCUUGUGGCCUUGCUUAGUGAGACCAAGGCCCAAAUGGCCUUGCGAAAGCCUCCUUGUGGCCUUACUUAAUGGGACCAACACCCGAAUGGCCUGGCGAAAAUUGUCUCAUGGCCUCGCUUAGUAGAACCAAUGGCCGAAUGGCCUGACAAAAACUGUCUUAUGGCUCGGUCUGGCGAAAAUUGCCUUAUGACCUCGCUUAGUGGGAUCAACGGCCAAAUGGCUUGGGAAAAAUUGUUUUAUAGCCUCGCUUAUUGAGACCAAUUGACUCGCGGUUGUCGAAGCCGGUCAAAAAUAACCUCUACGGUUAUCAACAAUUUUACAACUGCAGAUAGUGGUAAAGGAUCGAAUCCACAGAGAAUUGAAUACUUAUCUAUUUUUCCUAACAAGAUCAAGAGAAUCAACUGAAAGCACAAUUAGAAGCAAGUAACUGAGAGCAGAAUAAAAGUAAAGUGCAAUAAAGUAAAAAGGGGGGUUUUGAGAAUGAUUUGAUUAACAACUAUUGAAAGCAAUUAAAACAGCAAGUAACUAAAAUAAAAGAAGAAAUCAAUAUGAGAAAGGUCUAGUUGAAGAUAUGGAUCCACUUUGGUUGUUUGGGUUGAUCAUUGAAACUUAUGUUCCCUUGAUUGGUUCAAUAGAUUAGUUAUGAGUGUGGAAAACGCUUCUCACCACCAUGUCUCUCCUUAUGAUUAAAUCAAUUAGGGAACGUCCUCCAAUCAAUUACUAAUUAACAAAUUGCCAAGGAACGUCCUUGGGCCUUAGGCAUCAAAACAAUUGUCAAUUGCAUAAAGAAUGAGAGAGAUCCAACCCUAGCUACUCAAACGCAUGAGAUGUUGCUAGAUCAUACAAUUCCUUAGUUUUUACACUAAGUGUUCUUAGGUCAAAAUAUUUUCAGCAAUUACGGACUAAAAAAUAUCCCAACUAACAAUCAAUUAACUUUGCAAUCAAGAAUCAAGUGGCCAAUUUGAUCAAACAACAAAGCAAUCUUAGAUUUAAGCACACAAUUGCAUGAAUAUUGAAUAAAUCAAAAACAAACACUUUAUGUUUAGAUCUCACAACCCUUUAAACAACCUUAGUUUCAACCAAACUUCAAUUAGAAUUAAGGGUUUUAGCCACUCAUGGCUGAACCAAAACAGAAAAUAGAAGAAGAGGAGAUGGAAGAGGAGCCGGUGGUGGCACAAGUGGAGGAGGAGCGGCGGCCGAAGGUUGGAGGAGAUGGGGUCUUGAAUUUUGCCUUUUCUUGUCUUCAUAAGGCCUUUAAAUAUGUCUUGAGAGGCUGCCUAAGGUUUCUUGGAUGUCCAUGCAUCUUUUAGAGGAUGCCCAAAGUGCCCUUGGUCUAAUAUGUGCCUUCUAUGUGCAUGUGUGAAGGCAAGGGAGGGGCUUUUUGGUCUUUUAAUUGCUGUCCAAGCUGUGUCCAAGAAGUCUUCUUCAUAUUAUUCUUGCCACUCAUGCACUAAAGAGGAAGGUGGAGCCUCUUUUGAAUUUUGAAUGUGCAUGGCAUGAAGUGGGAAACAUGUGAUCUUCAAGAUUUGGCUUCUUGAAUAAGGAAGAGGCAAGUUGGGAGGAUUUUCGGCCGCCUAAGCUUAUUUUCGGAAGCUGGACUUUCGGCUCUGGAGUAGACUUUCGGCCGCCGAAGAUGCUGCCGAAGAUGGGUGACUUUCGGCUCUGGAUGAGACUUUCGGCCGCCGAAGGUGCUUCCGAAGGUGGCUUUUUCAGAUUUGGCACUUUUUGGUAGUUUUGAGAGCAUUUUCUCUUGAUUGUCUCUUUACACCUAAUAUCUGCAAAACAUGAUUAAAACCACAAAAUUAGGUAGAAAAGGUGUAAAUAAACAUCAAUAAGAUCAUGAUAAUAUGGACUAAAAUAUGCUCUAUCACCAAUGCUCAAAUGGCUUGGCAAAAGCUACCUUAUGGCCUAGCUUGGCGAAAAUUACUUUAUGGCCUUGCUUAGUGGGACCAAGUCUCAAAUGGCUUGGUGAAAACUACCUUAGAGCCUUGCUUAGUGGAACCAACGCCCGAAUGGCUUGACGAAAACUACCUUAUGGUCUAGUAUAGCAAAAACUGCCUUAUGGGUUUGCUUAGUGAGACCAAUGCCCAAAUGGCCUGGCGAAAACUGCCUUAUGGCAUGGCUUGACAAAAAUUGCCUUAUGGCCUCGCUUAGUGGGACCAACGCUCGAAUGGCCUGGCAAAAACUGCCUUAUGGCCUGACCUGGUAAAAAUUACCUUAUGGCCUCACUUAGUAGGACCAACGCCCGAAUGGCCUGGCAAAAACUAUUUUAUGGCCUUGCUUAGUGGGACCAACACCUGAAUAGCCUGGCGAAAGCUGCCUUAAGGCCUAGUCUGGCAAAAAUUACCUUAUGGCCUUACUUAGUGGGACCAAUACUCGAAUGGCCUGGCAAAAACUGCCUUAUGGCCUGGCCUAACCCGAUGGAAAUUGCCUUAUAGCCUCACUUAGUGGGACUAAUGCUCGAAUGGCCUAAUGAAAACUACCUUAUGGCUUGGCCUGGUGAAAAUUGCCUUAUGACCACGCUUAGUGGGACUAACGCCCAAAUGGCCUAGUGAAAACUAUCUUAUGGCCUCGCUUAAUGGGACCAACGCUCAAAUAGCCUGGCAAAAGUACAUUAUAGCCUCACUUAGUAGGACCAAGGCCCGAAUGACCUAGCGAAAAUUGCCUUAUGGCCUCGCUUAGUGGGACCAACACCCGAAUGGCCUGGUGAAAACUGCCUUAUGGCCUAGCCUGGUGAAAAUUAUCUUAUGGCCUUGCUUAGUGGGACUAACGCCCGAAUGGCCUAGUGAAAACUGCUUUAAGGCUGGUUUAGUCUUUCUUCAAAGGAGGCAAUCCCAUCAUUCCUUGUUAUUGAAGAACACCACAUGUGAAAAUACCUUGUUAAUUUUUUAUUGAGAGUGUGUAUGCAUGUUUGGGAGAGAGCAUGUGAGUUUUUGGGGGGUUUGGAAGGUUUAGAAGGCUAUUUGUGCAUGAGGAGGCUGAGUUCUGCCUUUCUGGAAGAACUCAGGUUCGGCAGCCGAAGGUACUUUCGGCCGCCGAACCUGCCUGUGGUGGCUUGUUUUGGCUGCCGAACCCUGCCCCCGAAAGUUGGACUUUCGGCUCUGGAGGGGAGUUUCGGCCGCCGAAGGUGCCACCGAACAUGCAUGAGGUUCGGCUCUGGAACCACUUUCGGUCGCCAAAGGUGCCGCCGAAAGUGGCUGAGUUUCGGCUAUGGAGGGACUUUCGGCCGCCGAACCUGCCGCCGAAAGUGCCCUGUCCAGCCUUCCUUUGCAUGAUUUUUAUGAUGUUUUAGGGGGUUUUUGGGAGUUGUUUAUGAGUUGUUUAGAGUGUGUUUGGCACCUUAUUCGAGUCCACCUGUGUAGGAUCGGACCCGAGGGACCGAGGAGGCCAGUAGUGUUAGCUGUUGCAGAGUCAGUCCAGCGUCUGCCAGAGGUGAGUAGAACUAACUCAAAUGUUUUAAGCAUAUUCACGCAUCAUGAAUACCAUGUAUAUGUAAUAGGUUGCUUGCAUUAGAUUUCACGAAGAUAUUGCAUUGCAUAAUUUGCUGUUGAUGUGGAUGGACCAAGGCGACCCCAAUAGCCCUAGAUAUGAUAUGUUAAUGAAGUCCUGAGGAGCCCCACCGAGGGCCGGGCACCAUGUAUGUUACAGAAGUCCUGAGGAGCUCCUUCGAGGGCCGGGCACAGACAAAGGGAGUUUUGGAGGUCAUGUCCAUCCGUGAUGUGAAAUGUUUGUGCUGUGACGCAUUCCAUGAUAGCAUAUGAUUUAUUAAAUUAUUUAUUGUUCUACUCACUGGGCUUUUUAGCUCACCCCUUUCCCCUAACCCCAGGUUUGCACGUCUGAGGUCGAUCGGGAAGUUGGCAAGGGUUAAUGUUAUGUUUAUGUAAUAGAUUAGCAUGUUAGCGUGGACAUGUAAUGUAAAUUGAUAUAAUGUAUUGUAAGAUAAUGUAAUGUAAUGUAAUGUAAUGUAGCGUAUGGUAGAGUUAUGGUUAUGGAUUAGUAUUGUGCUUGGCCCUAAGGUCUGGUUAAUCCCUUUUUGUACAUUAUGUAUAUUAUAUUUUUAUUGUUGAGAUGUGAACCAGGCUUGAUGUAUGUAAUGCUGACCCAGCGAGAGCAUUUGAUGAGGGCUCUAGCAUGGGGGUUUAUAUGUUUAUAGUUAUAUAGCAUACGAAUCAAGCUUGGUAUAUGAAAGGUUUUAAAGUUUUUAUGUUUAUGUUUAAUCAUGUAUGGGAUUUUACCAGGUAAUAGGAUGUAUGUUAGACUUGUUACGGGUCCCGGCGGUCUUAAGCCGAUCUGGAUCCUAGCGUCGGUAGCAGUCCGAUUUCCGAAUCGUUACAUUUACAAUAUCAGAAGAUCCAAAACUAUAAACCCUCCUUUUACUACUUCCAGAAAUUUCAAUCCAUAUAUUCAAAUCAAAAGCAGACUGACUUUCACAAUUGUCAUUCACAUUCUCAGCAAUGGUACUCAAAUAAGCUCCCUAAGUAAAAAAAAAAAAGAAAACAUAAUAGACAUUUCAUUAACCAUACACAACUAAUGAUAACAUAACACAAAGAAAAAUAAUGUGAUAACAAUAAAUAAGCAAAAAGUAACUUACAUCAACUUGUCGUGAUUUUCCAUCAAUGAAAAUACCUUGACUCUCCUUUUUUGUGUGAGUUGCACAAAAUAGUUCAAGUUGAGUUGGUUGACUACCUACUUCUUUGCCUACAAAAAAGAAAUAAUCACAGAAUCCAAGAUGCACGAAUAAUUUCUAACCAUCCGUAUAAAAAGAGAAUUGUAUAAAUAAAAUUAAGAAAUAAUAGAGUUAUACCAAUCUAUUCUCAUGAACCUCCAGUUUUAUUGAACCACCAGAGUGUAAUAGUCCCAUCUUUUUCUACGUUUCUAUUUGCUUUACUAGAUUCUGAUUUCUUUCUCCACUCUGGUGUACUUCAAUAUGCAACAAGUUCAUUCCAUAUUUAUGCCUCCAUCCAAUCUGAUCCUAAAUUGUAUAGAUAAGUAAUAUCUGUCUUCUUGUGCUUGCGCAACAAUUCGCUCCUAACUCUAUUAAGAAUGUCUCGCAGUCUUUCUUUACCUACCUUUUUCCAAGCAAUUCAAACCAUAUCUUCUUCACUCUCAUCCCAUACAUAUCGACUCUACAAAUAACAAUCAGUGUUAUAUAAAUUUAAUAAACUUAAAAUGCAUAUUAGAAAUUUUAGAAUAUAAGUUGUAUUUACCCGAAAAAGUCCGAAGAGCUCGUCUUUUAUCUUUAAAGGUAUUUCUAACCAAGUUUUCCAUGGAACAGUGUAGCGCAUCUUAAUGUCAUUAGUGAGGAUUGAUCUAGUAACUAUAGAAUCUAAAAAAACUAUAAUAUUUUUAUAUAUAAUGAGUUGUUGUAAGUAAUAAUACAUAUUAAAUCAAUAGUAAAAAGUUGUACAUGACUUACACAUUUCCUUUCAAUCUAAUCAAUUGUCGAUCAGACGGAUUUGAUGGGAUAGGAUAUCCCAAGUUCGGACCUCUAAUUCAAACUGAUGAUGAUGAGGAUGCGUUUGCUUGCCCCCCUAAUGCUUGUGGAGUGUGCUCCAGUGUUUCCUCUUGCACCUGUACUACCUCAUCUGUUUCAAUUAUAGAGAGCUGCUGGCUAUGUUCUCUACCUCUAGAUGAUACUGUUCUUCGAGGCAUCUGAAAAAAUAAUUGUCCAUAAGUUUAAACUAACAAUAAAGACAAACAAUAUAUAAAUUAAGUCUAUGAAUACAUAUAAAAAUAUAAUAUACUUUACAAUGUAUCGUUCAGAAUCAUCUUCUAAGUUGACAUCAUCAUCACUAUCAACACCAUCAACUUCUAAAUCGUCAUCUGACUCUUCAAUGUCCUCUUCCUCUUCCUCAUCCUCAUCCUCAUCCUUUUCCUCUUCCUCUUCCUCUUCCUCUUCUUCUUCUUCUACAUCCUCAUCUUCAUCUUCCACCACUCCAAGUGGUUGUUGUACAUGUUGCAAUUCAUUAACAUCCACCUCAACUAUAAUACUUGAAUCAAGUAACAUUGUGGGAUCAUCAAGUUUAGUUGUUGGUACAAUUUCUUGAGGUCUUAAGACAUCAUCAUCCUAAUAAGCAAUAUCAUUGAAGUUUUGCUCAUUUGAAUUGUUGUUAACUAUGAAAGGUCCAAUAUUGUAAGUGCUCCUAGCUUUGAUUUUGAAAACUGCACGCCAGUCAACUCUGACUUUAUUGAUUUUAGGGUAUUUAAUAUAGCAAACUUGAUGAGCUUGUUGAGUUAAAAUAAAUGGAUCAAAUGAUGCUAGUCUUAAUUUGACAUUGAUUUCUAUAAGACCAUGUUAAGGAUGGACUCUUACCCCUUUAUUAGUGUCAAACUAUUCACACUUGAAAAGGAUUAUCUUGUUUCUCUCUCCAAAAUACUCUAAUUCUAAUACCUCAUUCAGUAAGCCAUAGUAAUCACUUUUAUAUUCAUUAUAACAACUUUCUUUGACCCAUACGCCACUAUUUAAUGUUUUGUGCUCUCUGCCAUAAUCAUAUCUAUGGAAUUUAAAUCCAUUCACAAAGUAUCUUUUAUAUGAUUGUACUUUUCGGCUGGACUCUUGACUAUUUGAUAAAUGCAAUUAUCAACUUCUUUCCUUCCCACCUAAUGUUGAAACAUUAAGUUAUAAGUCAACAAUAAUGCACAUGUUAAAAUCAUCACUUGCAAUACUUACAUAGUCUUUUAACCAAUUAGCCAGUUCUUACUCUCGCAUUUGCUCAAUUUGUUGAUAGUUGAUAUUUGGUAUUAUUUCUCAUAAAUGAGAAUAAAAAAUCCUACACAAAAAAAUUAAUUUUUUUAUAUCAUAAUUUAUUUUAUAUGAUUAAUAUGUUAAUAUUUAAUUUAAAUCACUUACUCAAUAAACUGAUCAAUUUCAAGACAAUUCAACAACACAUAUAAAUGUGCUGCACAGUACUCUUCAUUUGACAAUAUUCUACCAUGCCAUGAUUCAAAUGCCCAAAAGACCGAUCUGCAUGAGUGAAAAUCGAAAGGUUUUUCAUAGAUUCUACAUCAAUAAAAAAAUAAAAAUCAACUCAUUCACCUCAUAUAGUUAAAUAUUUAUAGAGUUUAGUUACAAUAAUUGUAAGUUUAAAGUACGAAAUUUAAAUUAUUUUAAAUUAAUUUUAGGCUUUACUAUAAUUAUGCCCAAUUGAGAUAUGUGAAUUAAAAUUGUAAUAUUUAUAUAAAACUGUAAAUUAGGGUUAAAUUAAUACUUUUAGUUAAGGUUGUGUUUGUUUGACGAAAACUAUUUUUCAAAUUUUUUAAUGUUUGAUAUACUUAAAAAAUUUAGUCAAUAAAAAUUUCUUAAAAAAUUAAAUCCUUUUAAAGAAAAUAAUUUUUUGAGAAUUUUAUUAAUAUAUAUAUAUAUUUAUUUAUUUAUUUAUUUAUAAUAAUAUAACAAAUUUAUAAAGAGUUUAUAAGCGAAAAUCUCUCAACUUUUUAUUUUGGUGCUUAUAAACAUCCUACUUAUACGCUAAUUUGACCAAUUAAAUUAUUAUAUUAUUUUUAUUAAAAAUUUAAAUUAUAAAAUGUAUUCUCAUAAUCUCAACGAUGGAUCCAAACAGGGGCCAAGGGGCUAUGAUUUCCUGAACUUUUUGAAAAUUUAAUAGGGUAUUUAUAUAAUUUUUAUUAAUUGAAGAAAAAUUAUCAUUCAGUCCCUAAACUUUUAAAAUGAUUUAUUAAUUUAUCCUAUUUGAAAAUUAUUCAAUUAAAAUAUUUUUGUACUUUAUCAAAUAAAUUUUUAGAUCUUUAUAAAUUUAUUAACAUGUCUUGAAUAUUUAUAUCAUUUAGUUCAUAUAAUUUUAAUUAUAUGUAUCAUUUAGUACUUAUAUAUUUAAAUAUUUAUAUUAUUUAUUCUCGUUGAUCAAAAUAAAACAAGUUGAUUAACAGUUAUUUUAACAAAUCGACUAAACAAUUUAAUUUUAUAAAAUAUAUAAACCUUUUAAUUGAGUAAUUUUUAUAACGAUGAAAAUUAGUAAAAUUUCUAAAAAUUCAGAAAUCUAAUAAUAAUUUUCUUAUAAAUAAAGUCCCCAUACCAAUACAAUUUUAAAAUAGCCAUCCUAAUUUAUAUCUCUUUUCUUAUCUAUGUUUUUUUCCAUUUAAAAAAUUUAGGUUUAAUCCUUGAAAUUUUAACUUCACUAUUUAAUUUUAUUUUUUAAAUAUUUAUAAAGUAAAUUAUUACUGAUUAUUUUCAUUCAACACUUGAAAUUAUAAAAAUUAUCAUAAUUAAAUAUAAUAAAAAAAUGUUAAGUUGAUUAAAUAUAUUAUUAAUUGUGCUUUAUAUUUACUAAUUAUAUUUUAAUAUUUAUGAAUUGACAAAAUUAAAUAAUAAUAAUUUUAUUAUUUCGUAAAAAUUUAGAGCACAAUUAGCAUUAUUGUUUAGUGUAAAUAAAAAAUAAUUUUAAUAGUACACAGUUAUAUUAAAUUUAAAAAAUUUUAAAUAUAAAUCAAAAUAUUAAAAUUACAUAAUAUUAAUAGAUAAUAGUUUAUACAACUCAUAUUAAAAAAUUUUAAAAAUUCAUAUUCAAAAUUUAAUUGAGUAAAUCAAUUUAAUUUAUAAAAUUUUAUAUAUGUGAUUUUUUUUUCUUUACUUAAAAUUAAAUUUUACCUUAAAAACUUUAUAUAUGUAAAUAAAUAUUUUUUAUAAAUUAAGUAAAAUUGAAGUUAUCAUUGAAAAAAUAAAAUUACCCUCCUAACUUAAAUUUCUGCAUUCAUCACUACAUAAUUUAUAUUUUUUUAGUCAUUUUCAUAAUUAAUAUGCUUAUUUUUUUAGCCAAACAAGUAAAAACUUAAAAUUUAAAAUUGCUUAUAAGUUCAAAUUAGUUGAUAAGCACUUGAUGUUUAUAAGUUGAAUUUCAUAAGUUAAACCGAACACUCACUGUAAGUAAGAAUGUAAAUGGUUAGAAUAUAAGGACAAAUUAACCUAUCCGAAUUUCAACUCAAUUAAUGUUGUUAACAUUCAAAUCAGUUCUAAAUUCCAUUAAAAUUUAUCUAAAAUGAUAUUAUUCAUCCCAACUCAAACAUUAUUACCGAAUAAUACUCAAUUUGUUUAAUUUUAUAAAUUUUAAUUAAUAAUCUAUAUAAAAAUAUACUUCACUAAUAAUUUUUAUUUUAAAAAUUAAUAUUUCUAAAAAAAAAUUAAAUUCUAACUUUUCACUACAAGAUAUCUUCAAAUUAAUAAGAGAUUUUUUUUAUUACUAAUCAAUUAAAAAUUCAUUACUAACACACUUAGUAACUAAUUAAUAAUGAAUUUCCAUAUGUUACUAUAAAUCUCGUUGCUAAAACAAUAUAAUUCAUUACUAAUUUUGUAACGAAUUUAUAACGAAAUUUAGUUACCGAUUUUAAAUUCAUUACUUGAUAAAAAUUUAAAAAUUUAAAAAAUAUAAAAACUUAAUCUUUAAAAAAUAUUUAAAAAAUUAUAUAAAACUAUUAAUCUUUUUAUUAUAUUUUAUAUUAAAUAUUAAUUUAAUUAUGAUAAACAGUUAAUUUUGUCAUGAUAUUUUGCAUUAAAUAUUAAUUUUAAUAUUUUAAAUUUUAUUAAUUUUAUGAGAAAAUUAUUAUAAACUACAUGAGAAAAAUCUAAGAAAAUGGAAAAAAUUAAUGUGAGAGAAUGAAAGAAAAUAAUAUACAAAAGAGAAAAUAAGAAAAAAAUAUAAGAAAAUAAUGAUAAAAAUAAAGAGAAAAUAAGAAAAAUGAGAAAUAAAGGAAGAAAAAAGAGAAAAAAGAAAAGAAAAUGGAAGAAAAUAAUAGAAGGAUGGAGAGAAAAUGAAGAAAAAUAAAAGAGUAAAUGAAAAAAAUAGAACAAAAUAAAAAAAAAUGAAAGAAAGUUUGAGAAUAUGAAAGAGAAGAAAGCAAAUAAAAGAAAUAAAAGAAAAGAAAGCAAAUGGAAGAGUAGUAAGAAAAAAAAAGAAAGGAAAAAUGAUAGAAAAUAGAAGAGAAAAUAAAAUAAAAUGAAGAAAAUGAAAAAAAUAGAAAAAAAUGAAAGAAAAAGAAAAUAAUAUGAGAGAAAAUAAAGAAAAUGAAAUAAAAACUAAGAGAUAAGAGGAAGAAUAAUGAAAGAAAAUGAAGAUAAAUUUAAAAAAAAUGCAAGAAAAAAUAGAAAAGAGAUCAAUAAUAAGGAAAAAAAAGAUAGGAGAAAAAUGAAAGAAAUGAGGGGAGAAGAGGAGAAAAAAAAGUAAAUGAAAUGAUGAAGGGAAAUAAGGGGUGUGAUAUAUAUAUAUAUAUAUGUGAGUUAGUAACGGAUUCAAUUUAUUGCUAAAUUUAAAAAAUUAUAAAUAAAUAAAAGUAAAAAUAUGAUAUUAUUUUUCAGAUAUUAGUAACAGAUUGUCUAAUUCGGUACUAAUUGUUAAAUUAAUAAUAAAUUUAGUAACAAAUUAUUUUCUUUACUAAAUUAGAAAAGAGAAAGGCAUGAUUCUAAAAUUAAAGCACAAUAUUUUUUCUCUAAAAUUUAAUAAUGGAUUAUGAAAUCUAUUAUUAAAACCGUUACUAAUUUAAUAAUAAAUUAUAUUUAUUAUUAAAUUUGAUAUUAUUUUAUUCUUUUAUUAUUUAAGUAAUUUAUUUAUUUAAUAAUCGAUUUGUAACGAGUGACGGAUUAAGAUUUUUAUUUACUUUAGUAAUUGAUUAAUAACGAAUUUUAAAAUAAGUUAUUAAAUUUGUAAAAGAAAUUUAUAAAUAAUUUUAUUAUAUACCAGAUUUAGUAAUAUUUUUAUUAAUAAGUUACUAAAUUAUAAAAAUUAGUAGUAGAUUACAAAAUUUAUUAUUAAUUUAUAACGUAUUUAAAUGUGCUGUUAAUAUCCAUUAUUAUUUCAAUAAAUUUUUACUGUGUGUAAAUUAAAAAUAUAUAUAAAAAAUUAUAAACAAUGCGUCUUUCAUAAAUUCUCAUACUUAUUUUAUAAUUACACACCAUCUUUGUAUUUCAUAGGUUAAAAAAUAAUAUAGAUAUUUAUUAUUAUUUUAAAAUUUUUAAUUUCAUUGGUUGAAAUAUAUUUUUAUUUAAAUUAAAAUUAGUUUAAAAAUAAAUUGUCUAAAGAUUCUUUAAAAAUACUUAAAUUCUAAUUAAUUAAACUUUUUACAAAAAAUAAAUAAUAAAUUUAUAAGUUUUUUUAAAAAAAUUUCAUCUUUAAAAAGAAUACUAUUUAAUUGACAAAAUUUUUUAUAUGUCUAGAAUUCAAGGAUAAUAUAAUUGCCGCAAAUACAAAUAUAUCAAUUGUUAAUAAAUUUUAGCUAUAUAAUUCGUCGUUAAUGAUAUAAAUAAUUUACUUAAUAAAGAAAAUAAACCUAUACUACGAAAAUAUAUAAAUAAAGUUUCAUUUAAAUUUUAUUAAAAAUAUAAUCUAAUUUAAUUUUUCAAAAAAGUUUUGGAUUAACAAAAGAUUUUAUUAACAAAUUUAAAAAUUUCUUGGUAAUUUUUAAUAUAAAAACUUGUAUAUAAAAAUUUAUUAAUGGAUUUAAAAUCGUGGGUACCAUAUUGAUAUUAUUAACGAAUUUUAAAAUUCGUUAAUAAUUUAUAAAUAUAUAAAAUAAUUGGCAUUCAUAUUUCGUAACGAAUUGAAAAUUUAUUUAUACAUCUGUUGAUAAUUUGUUAAUGUAUUUUAAUCUAUUAAUAAAUUUAAAAAAAUUUUUAAAUUAGUAACGGAUUCUAAAUCUGAAAAAUCAUUAAUAGAUUUAAAAAU